rnacentral:rRNA from 1 species
UACGAAGGGGGCUAGCGUUGCUCGGAAUCACUGGGCGUAAAGCGCACGUAGGCGGCUUCUUAAGUCGGGGGUGAAAUCCUGGAGCUCAACUCCAGAACUGCCUUCGAUACUGGCGAUCUUGAGUCCGGAAGGGGUGAGUGGAACUCCUAGUGUAGAGGUGGAAUUCGUAGAUAUUAGGAAGAACACCAGUGGCGAAGGCGGCUCACUGGUCCGGUACUGACGCUGAGGUGCGAAAGCGUGGGGAGCAAACAGG